GAGCUCUUCUCUUUUCUCUCUUCCCCCGCUAUGCAGUCAGGAAGGGCGCCCCUCCGAGUGCCGAUGCCACGGCCCCGGACAACCAGCGCGUAUCCCUUACAGCGCUCCACGGUGCUCUGUGCACAAAGUCUGAGCGUAUUUUCCCAUCUGAUAAUCACUACACGCACCAUUGUGCAGUCAAACAUGACAGGAGGCGUCCGAAGCCUCCUGGACCAGUUUGAGACCCGAACACUCAUCACACGGCUGAGGCGUAACCGCAACGGCAACUACUACCGUUUCCGUCAGAAGCUCUGGCUCUCGCAAGAGGCACUGGAGAAGGAGCUGACGGAGAUCACUUACAGCCCGGUGGAGCGGCAUCCGUUCGCGUUGCUGCCGCAGCGCGAGACCCCCCGUCAGGUGUUCGCCUGUGAAGGACGCGGCGGUACAAUGCUCCUUGAAGCGGUGCACGCAGAAGCACGAGGGGCGAGUGCCUCAGAAAGCAGUCCCACACCAGCAGCUGUGUCUUUGCUUCCGCACCAAAGUAAGCGAUGCGACGCUAAUGACUCACUUGACUUUAUGGCGAGUCUGCUUCGAGCAGAUCAAUCUGUGAGCAGCAAGAUCAUCACGGAGGCAGACGUGGAGGGCACCGUUCUCGAGUCUGCUCGCUUCCGCGCUCGGCAGAUUCUCGCAAGCGAUCUCACGUGCAACGCCGUCGCCGCCUCGCCCUCCACUUCCGUCUCGCUUCGCAAUCCCGCCGAGUCUACCGACGCGGCGGGAACAUCGUGGUCAGCACUCGGCCUGGACCCGCUCAUUAGCUCUGCUGCCGAGCAGCUUUACGGGCCAGUGCCGACGCGUCUGCAGGCCCGUCUGCUACCGGCCCUACUCAACGAGGAUCACAACGACGUGCUCUUCAAUGGCGUCACAGGGAGCGGCAAAACGUCGGCGCUCGUGCUGGGUCUCCUGCAGGGCAUCCGCAGCGAGGCCGCUGGCAUGAAUGUCCUUGUGGCGACAAACACAAUCAACGCCAUGCGACUGCACGACACAGUCAAGGCGCUCUGUAGGCGAGCGGGUGGCGGCGUCGUGGUCGACCGGCCUGCUGAGGACUACUCCUGGCUCUUCCUGGGCACUUACAGAGAGGACUAUGAGUCCUAUUACGAGCAUCUUCGGCGCGGGUUGCGGCGUGCGACCGGUCCAGCUCGGCUGUUCAUCACGACCGCCGACGUCAUGUGUCAGCUGUUGUUUGAGAAGAAAAUGGAGUUUGAGGACUUUGGCUACCUGCGACGCGUCUACGUGGACGAUAUUGGUGCACAGGUGCCCUUGCUGCCGGAGAGCGCCCCUGUAGCCGUGGUGCGGGAACGACUGCGCAACCCGCUGGCUGCGGAACUGCUGUUGGGGACGCUGCAUCAGCUGCCUGGCCCCCACGUUCGGUCGGUGCUACAGCUCGGUAUGGUAUCCGCUGACGUGGAUGGCAAACUAAAGGACCAUCUGCAGGCGCUGUGCAUGAAGCCCGUGGCCCAGACGACGGUACUGUCCACCGUCCGCAUCCCCUCCACCGUGCACUGCCUUUUCUCCUUCUACCUCGGCCAUAGGGAGGAUCGCUUCAGCUACCUUGUGCGCCUCCUGUGGAAUGCGCGGGAGACGAUUCCCGGCCGCGCUGUCCUCUUUGUUCCGGACGCUGAGGACGUUCUCAGGGCACGGCUGCGACUUCGCGGACUUGGUGCAGACGUCAAGAUCUUCUCGGAGGUACACGGAGGCGGCGAGUUCAAGGGUGACUGGAAGUUUCUGCUCUUGAAGGAGUCGGAGGCGUUCGGCGUCGACUUGCCCCUCGUCUCGCACGUCUUUAUCACCUUCGCGCCGACUUCGUGGCAGCGCUUCCUGCAUAUGUGCGGGCGCACCGGUCGCAUGGGCAACGUUGGCUGGGUCUACGUUGUGAGCGACAAGCAAGACGCGAAGAGCGUUCGCGAUGUUGCCGAGGCGCUUUCAGUAGACUUCUGCAAUCAUGUUAUCAGCGAUGAUCUUCAGCAGGCUCGCCCCGCGGACGUGGAGCGCUUCACGAAGCAGCCCGAGCUUUAUGGUCUUGAUCCUCAAUUUGCCGUGCGACAGCACUACACGGUGCAAGCCGAGAACCCAGAUAUGGCGUACCGCAAGCGGGAAUUUUUCUCCAAGCCAGCGAUUAAGCAAUUUCAGAUGGAGGACUACACCUCCAUCUCGAUCAAGCAGCGUCGCUUCGAUCACGCUAGGCAGCUGUCGCAGGAUGUGGAGCGGAACCCAUCCAUUGUGCUUAACAUGCAGAAGAGGGGGCUGCUAGAUGCUCACCUCAAGCCGACAAAAACGCUAAAGCGAUACAUGGACCUGAAGACGCAUAGGGAGGCACCCGACCCUUUCCAGAAAAAGCGAAAACGCCGUCAGUGACGAUGAGCGGUGACAGAGUCAAUAGCGAGUUGUUGGUAAGGCAUCUGACUUGCUUGUUGGUGCUGUGUAAUGCACGUCCUUCGGUAUGGCAGAGACUUUCCGCCGUGAUCGGCGUUGGGUCCUCGUCUGCUACCGAUCCAGUCAUUGGGAGGGCGUUUCAUAUCUUCACAUAAUCCGUGUAGCG
rnacentral:misc_RNA from 1 species